ensembl:lncRNA
CAGGACAACAGAAGAAACUCACUGAAACUUGAAAAAAAAAUCGGAGCUUAACUUACUGUAACAAAAACUGAGCAACAUACUGUAUUGCUGGUGACAAAAACACAUAUUAAAACCUUUUUAGCUGUAAAAUGCGCAAUGGUCCUUUUUUUACUUUUUUAUUGAUUUUUAUUUUUUUCAUAGGCCUAGAUUUUUUUUUAUUUUUAUUACAGAAUUCAAUAUCAAGUCCUUGACACAUAACUGUAACACAUGUUCACAUUAAGAAACAAUUUAGUUUAAAUAAAAAGAACAACACAAAAUAAAUAAAUAAAUAAAUUAUUUAUUUAUUAGAGAUAGGCCUACAGAUUUUUUUUAUUUAUUUUUUUUUACUUUAGACUCUAAAGUUAAAAGUUUUUAUUAAGGUUAUUGUAAAGGCUGCUUAAAAAUGCUGUCGCUGAUGAGCCUCUUAUCGCUGUCAGAUUCUGUGAUAUGAAUGUCCGCGUUGGAUUGUGGCUAAUGGGCUUAGAAUGAGACCCGCUCGGCCCGUGUUCUGGCUUACUGUAAUAUUUCACCGGUAAUAAAAACCGAAAUAAUAUAAUUAAAAUAAAGAAAUGAAUGAAUACAAUGAUAACAUCUAAAUAAAUGUUGAUAGAUGUAGCGUUAUAGUUUAAAAAAUAUUAAUAAACAGCAAAUCAACACAGCUUCGAAAUAAUAACCGAAAAAGACCUAAAUAAUAAUAAUACAUAAUUAAUAUACAGCGCCGCCCCUCCCACCACGCGCAUCACGCGCCGUGCGUCAACCCAUUGUCACUCCCAAAGCGUCAAAAACUGAAGCGUGGUCAAGCGCCUCUAGCAUCACUGACAUGAGAUGUUUAUCGCUUUGAAAUCACGUUCAAGAAGUCUCAUUCAGCACACAUCGCGAUACUUGCCAUCAGUUUACAAGAGCCGCAGGUUGGGUGAGUUAUACAGUCUAUGCUGAAAAGACAUAAAGGAAGCAGUCACCCCAGUGGUGUUUGUGGAGAGGUAUUCCUUCAGAAAUGGAGAAGACAGAAAGCUGCAGAGGCAGGAUUGUUUGCAGAUAAUGCUGUUCUUCUUUUUUUCAGAAGUUUUUUUGGUGAGCCAACUCUCACAAACCUUCCUAAAAAAACUAAAAAGAGCUAUUACUGA